UACAGAGGGGGCAAGCGUUAUUCGGAAUUAUUGGGCGUAAAGGGCGCGUAGGCGGCUUGGCAAGUGGAUGGUGAAAUCCCUCGGCUUAACCGAGGAACUGCCGUCCAAACUGCUUCGCUUGAGACCGGGAGAGGUGAGUGGAAUUCCCAGUGUAGCGGUGAAAUGCGUAGAUAUUGGGAGGAACACCAGUGGCGAAGGCGGCUCACUGGACUGGUACUGACGCUGAGGCGCGAAAGCGUGGGGAGCAAACGGG
rnacentral:rRNA from 1 species